UCAACUUAAGCCAGAUGUAAACAAUUCCGGAAUGAAACCUGAAUCGGCUUCGAUUUUUCGUUCACAUGUAUACGUCAUAUUUUUACGUCACGAACGCAGAAGAGAUCAGAAAUGUAGGAUGAUUUCAGAUAAAAGCAAAUGGCUAUUGUAGUACACAAGCUUAGUACUAAGAUUUGUCUGGAUGUAGUGACUAGUCUAAAGACUAUGACUAUAAUUUCAAGAUCCUGGCAUUCUCCUCAAGUUCAUAGAAAGAUUGUGUCCUGUACUGAAUCUGGAUAAAAUCUAAACUUGUCCUAUGCUUUGGUUAACACGUCAGAAAGGGAGAAGUGGAUGGAAAGACUUGAAGGGCUAAAUGAAUUUAGGAAAACUAAUGAAGCACCAAAGAACAAGAAGAAUAAAAAUAUCUAAAUGUUAUCAUUUGUAGGAAUUAAAU